GAUGAACGCUGGCGGCGUGCCUAAUACAUGCAAGUCGAGCGAACAGACGAGGAGCUUGCUCCUCUGACGUUAGCGGCGGACGGGUGAGUAACACGUGGAUAACCUACCUAUAAGACUGGGAUAACUUCGGGAAACCGGAGCUAAUACCGGAUAAUAUAUUGAACCGCAUGGUUCAAUAGUGAAAGACGGUUUGGCUGUCACUUAUAGAUGGAUCCGCGCCGCAUUAGCUAGUUGGUAAGGUAACGGCUUACCAAGGCAACGAUGCGUAGCCGACCUGAGAGGGUGAUCGGCCACACUGGAACUGAGACACGGUCCAGACUCCUACGGGAGGCAGCAGUAGGGAAUCUUCCGCAAUGGGCGAAAGCCUGACGGAGCAACGCCGCGUGAGUGAUGAAGGUCUUCGGACCGUAAAACUCUGUUAUUAGGGAAGAACAAAUGUGUAAGUAACUAUGCACGUCUUGACGGUACCUAAUCAGAAAGCCACGGCUAACUACGUG
rnacentral:rRNA from 1 species